AGUGAACGCUGGCGGUAGGCCUAACACAUGCAAGUCGAACGGCAGCACAGGAGAGCUUGCUCUCUGGGUGGCGAGUGGCGGACGGGUGAGGAAUACAUCGGAAUCUGCCCAGUCGUGGGGGAUAACGUAGGGAAACUUACGCUAAUACCGCAUACGACCUUCGGGUGACAGAGGGGGAUCGCAAGACCUCUCGCGAUUGGAUGAGCCGAUGUCGGAUUAGCUAGUUGGCGGGGUAAUGGCCCACCAAGGCGACGAUCCGUAGCUGGUCUGAGAGGAUGAUCAGCCACACUGGAACUGAGACACGGUCCAGACUCCUACGGGAGGCAGCAGUGGGGAAUAUUGGACAAUGGGCGCAAGCCUGAUUCAGCCAUACCGCGUGGGUGAAGAAGGCCUUCGGGUUGUAAAGCCCUUUUGUUGGGAAAGAAAUCUUUCAGGCUAAUACCCUGGGAGGAUGACGGUACCCAAAGAAUAAGCACCGGCUAACUUCGUG
rnacentral:rRNA from 1 species